AAACUCAAAUGAAUUGACGGGGAGCACCACAACGGGUGGAGCUUGCGGUUUAAUUGGAUUCAACGCCGGAAAUCUUACCGGGACCGACAGCAAUAUGAAGGCCAGGCUGAAGACUUUGCCGGAUUAGCUGAGAGGUGGUGCAUGGCCGUCGUCAGUUCGUACUGUGAAGCAUCCUGUUAAGUCAGGCAACGAGCGAGACCCACGCCCACAGUUGCCAGCGUACUCUCUGGAGUGACGGGUACACUGUGGGGACCGCCGCUGCUAAAGCGGAGGAAGGAAUGGGCAACGGUAGGUCAGUAUGCCCCGAAUAUCCCGGGCUACACGCGAGCUACAAUGGUUGGUACAAUGGGUAUCUACCCCGAAAGGGGACGGGAAUCUCCUAAAACCAAUCUUAGUUCGGAUUGUAGGCUGAAACUGCCUGCAUGAAGUUGGAGUUGCUAGUAACCGCAGGUCAGCACACUGCGGUGAAUACGUUCUCGGGCCUU
rnacentral:rRNA from 1 species